AAAAUCGAAGAAAUAACCGAACCGAACCAACAAGUCAUAUACAUAAUUUUAUUAUUAUACAUACAUAAUAUAUUAUAUUCAUAAACAAUUUUAAAGAUUUUUAUAUAUGUUUCAUCAAAAUUUAUUUAUAAUUUACUUAUGAAAGAAAAAAUGUCCAGGGUGAGAACAUUUUUCUUAUUGGUUUCAUGUAUAUGAGCGUCUAUGAAAAUUCUUUGUGGGUCUGAAAAUGUCAUUGUCUCUUCCUUCUAUGCCAAAAUAGUGAAUUUUGAAGUUUUAUUCAGUAUAU
rnacentral:lncRNA from 1 species